CGCCGUCGCUGGUCAGCAGCUGGGUGACGGCGUUCUGCAACGACGUCAGGCGGGGCACGGUGGUGGUGACCGCGGUGUUCAGCGCGGUCGAGACGGUGU
rnacentral:tRNA from 1 species